rnacentral:lncRNA from 1 species
AGUUCUUAAAGAGUUCUAAGGGCAGAAGGGUCCCUAUUGUUGAGGCUCUGGGGACAUCUCCCAGGGAACAGAGCUCUUCUGACCACAACACCUCUAAUCUUCUUCUCUGACUGCCAUAACUAUUGUGCAUUCUAGAAGCAGUUUGGGGAUCUGCUGGGAAACUUCAUUGUACCCUCUUCUCCAAGAUGCACAACAGUGAAGAGAGAGUCCAUCUUAUCGUCUUGCCUCCUGAAGAGAAACUCGGAUAACAGGGGUAAUGCCUCCUCUCUUCCCAGGGAUGUGCUAAAGCCAGCUCAUACAGGUGCCGCCAUGGUUUCUCUGACUCUGAGAUUUAUGCAACAAUGACUUUCAAAGGCAGAGUGUAGACAAGAAGAACAGAUGGAGCUGAGCUCGCCUAUCUGUCGGGGAUCCACACACUAACUUAAAGCAGUUUGGAACUUUGUGGGUUUCUACGUGUGAGGGGAACAUGGGUGAUGAAAACUUCUCUUAGUGAAGGAACUGAUGAGCCAGAAUGUGGAUUCUACUGGAAAAGACUAGACACUACAAAAGGCAACAUUUGAAGACUCAUUGGUCUUGAUCUCUUCAGUCAAACAGCCCCACCAAGAGACAAGCUGACAGCUGCUGCCACCUGGAACAGAGUCCAACUCCUAGAAAAAGGGCCCCGAGUAAAUUGUCACAGUGGUCACCUGGAGAGUGAAGCCAAGGAGUGUGACUACAGCUCAAGAUCCAUCUCCUACUGGGACAUCACCCUCCUCUGCAAACAAAUAGGUACAAAAAGGCUUUCUAAGACUCCACAAGAACAUCUGCCUCUACCCCACCCCAAACAGAGUGUCCAGAACCAAUCAACUUUAAGAAGAUAGGAGAGGAGAAUCUAGAAAGAAGCUAUCAACAGAGGAGCCCCAGGGACAUGAGCUUCUUGAGAGUGAGGACUGUUUUUUUGUCUUUCUUUGUACUCCAAAUCCUUAGCACAGAGCUAGCACAUAAUAGGAAUCUAAUAAAUAUUUGUUCACUGACUGAUUGACA